UGGGGAAUAUUGCACAAUGGGCGCAAGCCUGAUGCAGCCAUGCCGCGUGUAUGAAGAAGGCCUUCGGGUUGUAAAGUACUUUCAGUCGGGAGGAAGGUGGUAAGGUUAAUAACCUUGGCAAUUGACGUUACCGACAGAAGAAGCACCGGCUAACUCCGUGCCAGCAGCCGCGGUAAUACGGAGGGUGCAAGCGUUAAUCGGAAUUACUGGGCGUAAAGCGCACGCAGGCGGUUGAUUGAGUCAGAUGUGAAAUCCCCGGGCUUAACCCGGGAAUUGCAUCUGAUACUGGUCAGCUAGAGUCUUGUAGAGGGGGGUAGAAUUCCAUGUGUAGCGGUGAAAUGCGUAGAGAUGUGGAGGAAUACCGGUGGCGAAGGCGACCCCCUGGACGAAGACUGACGCUCAGGUGCGAAAGCGUGGGGAGCAAACAGG
rnacentral:rRNA from 1 species